rnacentral:rRNA from 1 species
CCUACGGGGGGCUGCAGUGGGGAAUAUUGCACAAUGGGCGCAAGCCUGAUGCAGCCAUGCCGCGUGUGUGAAGAAGGCCGUCGGGUUGUAAAGCACUUUCAGCGGGGAGGAAGGCGGUGAGGUUAAUAACCUCAUCGAUUGACGUUACCCGCAGAAGAAGCACCGGCUAACUCCGUGCCAGCAGCCGCGGUAAUACGGAGGGUGCAAGCGUUAAUCGGAAUUACUGGGCGUAAAGCGCACGCAGGCGGUCUGUCAAGUCGGAUGUGAAAUCCCCGGGCUCAACCUGGGAACUGCAUUCGAAACUGGCAGGCUAGAGUCUUGUAGAGGGGGGUAGAAUUCCAGGUGUAGCGGUGAAAUGCGUAGAGAUCUGGAGGAAUACCGAUGGCGAAGGCGGCCCCCUGGACAAAGACUGACGCUCAGGUGCGAAAGCGUGGGGAGCAAACAGGAUUAGAUACCCGUGUAGUC